AGUGAAGUCAUGAGAGCUUUGAAGAAAAGCACUUAAUUGGAAACCUUCAUUCACUUGAUUCGUGGAAUGAAGCUUUGAAUGGGGUGACUGCUAUUGUUCAAUUUCGUAUUAACCCUUCAAUAGAGAGGAAUUCUAGGAAACCUUCUUUCACCUUAUUCAUGGGAAUGCAAGCAUCAAUGCAAUUAGAGCCGCUUCAGAAAAAGGUGAAACCUGUGUUGGAUGAAGAGAAAUCCAAGGCUAUCGGCGUAGUCUUUAAUAAUGGGCGCAUGAAGAAGCGACCAGCAAAAUUAGCAAAAUAAAUGCAGCAAACAGGAUUUUCCAACCUCCAUACAUUAUCAGCAAUGGGUACGAAUCACACCCACCUCUCUAUCUCCAAUUAAGCCAGCCUCAGCCUAAAAAAAAUGAGACGCUAUCAAAAUCAAUGCAACUAGGGUAAACUAUUUUCCUUGAUACAGUUGAAAUCAUAAGAAUAAAGAAUGAACACCCAGAUGAUAGCCAAUGUAUUGUCAAUGAUAGAGAUAGAGGUCGUCUUAAGGUCACCAGAGCAUUUGGAGCUAGAUUUCUGAAAAAGCCCAAGUUGAACGAUUCAUUAUUGGAAAUGUUUCGAAAUGAGUAUAUUGGAACUGCUCCAUACAUAUCCUGCACGCCUUCUCUUCAUCACAAUAAACUCUGCCCGAGAGAUCAAUUUUUGAUCCUCUCAUCCGAUGGCUUAUAUCAGUAUCUGACCAAUCAGGAAGUGGUUUCAAAUGUUGAGAGUUUCAUGGAGAAGUUUCCAGAUGGUGAUCCUACACAACACCUAAUAGAGGAGCUGCUCUUCCAUGUAGCUGACAAAGCUGGUAAAAUGUUCUUUCUUCUCUGCUUAGUUCUUUAAAUGCUAAUAAUCAUCCAGUUGUACAAAAUGUGGAAAAGUAAUUAUGAGAUUUAACCUCUGAAAGUCAGGGUGUUUCUUCCACAGUAAAUAGUAUCAAAGCUUUUUCCAUGUCAAUAUUAAGCCAUUUGUCAACUAUUUCUCAAUGUAAACGUUCUGACAUAAUUUUUAGUCGUUUUCUUAUGCAUUACAAUAGGUAAUUUCUUGAGUUAUCUUCUUAAUAUUAUUAACGUGAUGGCUCCAACAAGAUUGGUUUCGGGCAAUUUAUUCAUGGUUAUCUGACU